rnacentral:rRNA from 1 species
AUUGAACGCUGGCGGCAUGCUUUACACAUGCAAGUCGAACGGCAGCGCGGGCUUCGGCCUGGCGGCGAGUGGCGAACGGGUGAGUAAUGCAUCGGAACGUGCCCAGUAGUGGGGGAUAGCCCAGCGAAAGCCGGAUUAAUACCGCAUACGACCUGAGGGUGAAAGCGGGGGACCGAAAGGCCUCGCGCUAUUGGAGCGGCCGAUGUCGGAUUAGCUAGUUGGUGGGGUAAAGGCUUACCAAGGCGACGAUCCGUAGCUGGUCUGAGAGGACGACCAGCCACACUGGGACUGAGACACGGCCCAGACUCCUACGGGAGGCAGCAGUGGGGAAUUUUGGACAAUGGGGGCAACCCUGAUCCAGCCAUGCCGCGUGCGGGAAGAAGGCCUUCGGGUUGUAAACCGCUUUUGUUCGGGAAGAAAUCCUCUGGGCUAAUACCCCGGGGGGAUGACGGUACCGGAAGAAUAAGCACCAGCUAACUACGUG